AUGACGAGUGGAGGGAGAAAGAGAGAGGAAAUAGGAGAGGGAGGCUCGGCAGCGGACGGGACAGGGUCGCCGGCCGGUGUCGGCCUGCGCCGGCGAGUUCGCUCGCCCAGCUGCCAAAUAGGGAAAGGCGACGGGACCGGCAUCCGGGGCGGCGGCGGCGGCGGGACUGCAGGAACUGGCCGAGGUGAUCCUCGCCAAACAAGCGGGCGGCAGCAAGGUGCUCCCCACGGUGAGGAACGGACGCGCUCAACGCCUUCCUUCCCAACCAGAUAUGAGAAAGAAGAAAUAGGACCAAGAAAAUUAGUUGCUCAUAUAUUCAUGUGUCGUGCAGAGAAGAAACCGAAUGGAGAACUUGGUAUGCCGAGUAAUGUGCAGGUUGCUUUUGUCCUCUCAUCUACUGUUUGGUCUUUGUCUAUUGCUCUGCUGGCUCGUCAUCACCUUGGUUGGAGAUGA
rnacentral:rRNA from 1 species